rnacentral:lncRNA from 12 species
AUGAGUAUCUUAUUGGUUUAUUUCCUUCUCUCCUUCCCCCCCCCCUUUUGCCAUGUGUUCAUCAGUUUUCUUUUCUUUCUCUCUUUUUUUUUUUUUUUUUACCUCUGAACCUUUUAUUGGCCUCCUGCUCCUCAAAGGAUACCCUGUUUUGCUGCCUCAACGCCUCAGAAUUUUGGUGUUGUUGGUCUCAGACACCACUUUGCCGUCCAUGAUCUUGCUGGUGGUGGUCUUCUGGAUGGUCUGCAAGGAGUUUCUCUUGUCCAGGGCGUCAGUAAGAUUGAAGUCCUCCCAGUCUUCCAACAGGUGACGGUAGGUGGCAAUCUCAGCCUCCAGCUUGACCCUUACAUUCAGUAAGGCCUCAUACUCCUGGGCCUGGCACUGCCCCUCUGCCCGGGUCUGGGACAGUUCUGACUCCAGGUGCAGCAGGACCCCAUUGAGCUGCUGCAUCUGAUCGUCUAGUGAGUCUCAACCUCCCUCAGGCUGUUCUCCAAGCUGGACUUCAGGUUUCUCAUUGAGUCCAGAUUGAUCUCCAAGGACUGGGCAGUAUGUCUUAGCUCCAUGAGGUUCAUCUCAGCUUCUCCUAACUCAGAGGUCUGUGUGGUGCUCUCCUCGAUCUGCUGGGACCAGUACUUGUCCAGCUCCUCCCAGUUCUUCUGAGCCUGCUCUUCAUACUGAGCCCGGAUAUCUGCCUGAUCUUGCUGAGGUCCUGAGAUUUGGGGGCAUCCAACUCCACCGUCAACCCAGAGGUGGCGAUUUGGUUUUAUAGACCCUUUACUUCCUCCUCAUGAUUCUUCUUCAUGAAGAGCAGCUCCUCCUUGAGAGCCUCGAUCUCUGUCUCUAGCUGCAGCCGAGUGACAUUGGUGUCAUCAAUGACCUUGCAGAGCCCAUGGAUGUCACUCUCCACAGACUGGCUCAUGGCCAGCUCCAUCUCAUACUUGACUCGGAAGUCAUCAGCAGCGGGUCGGGGAUUGUCAAUCUGCAGAACGAUGCGGGCAUUGUCCAUAGCACUUGCAAAGAUCUGAGCCCUCAGGUGCUCGAUGGUCUUGAAGUAAUUCCCCCUGUCUCUGACCCGGGGUCCCUUCUCCUCCAAGUGUUCCCGGAUUUUCAUCUCCAGUCUCUGUUUAUCAGCCUCCAGGCUCCUCACCCUCUCCAGCUUAUUAAAGUAUAAUUCGAGGAAGACAUAGACACGGCCAACAAGCACAUGAGGAAAUGCUCCGCAUCACUUGCCAUCAGGGAAAUACAAAUCAAAACCACAAUGAGAUACCACCUCACACCAGUGAGAAUGGGGAAAAUU